CUUCAGUGAUGAUCGAUGACGAGUCUGACUAGGCAUCCCCUGUUUCAGGAUGCCUAAUACAGUGGCACGUUUUGUGUCAUUGGAUUCAGGCUCCUGAGCAGAAUGUCUUUUCUCCUGACGACUUAGAGGCAUUUGUCUGAGAAGA
rnacentral:snoRNA from 1 species